rnacentral:misc_RNA from 1 species
GCCGAGUAAGAAGUCACCUAUUCCAUUCCUUCGUCAGGUGCUCUUCGGGAAGCCCCAGGAGCUACUUUCUUCUCUCUUUCUUUCCGUGUAGCGGUUUAAGGAGUCUUCGCUAUCUUAGCCUUUCGUGGAAAUGCUUUUCGAGGCAAUUCCUUUCUUUUCCUAAUAAGUUCAAUGCUUUUUCUUCUGUCUUAUCUUUCGUAGAUCGUAAAUCGACUUUCUCUUCUUUCAAGGCUAGUCCCAUUCUCUUAGAAUGUGAUUGGUCUAAUCAAAGCAGUUUAUUACACCUCUCCCCUAGCCCUUUCUUGAGUUCCCGGCCCCGCCCCCUGAUGGAUAGCGU